rnacentral:lncRNA from 1 species
CCAGGCUGGAGUGCAGUUGUGUGAUCUUGGCUUACUGCAGCCUCCACCUCCUGGGCUCAAGUGAUCCUCCUGCCUCGGUCUCCCAAAGUGCUGGGAUUAAAGGCAUGAGCUACUACAUCCAGCCAAAAGCUACAUUUUCAAGACUAGAUAAAAAGGCUACAAGGUUCAUCUGCAAGUUUCUUCAAAUGGUUGCAAUGCUUACUGCAACCUCCAUCUCCUAGGCUCCAGUGAUCCUCCUGCCUCAGCCUCCCAAAGUGCUGGGAUUACAAGCAUGAGCAGUAGCUCAUUUUUGUCCAAAAGCUGCAUUUCCAAGACCAGGUAAAAAGGUAUUUGGCCAAAAGAGCAAGGUUUCACAUCUGCUGGCAUGGCUGAUGUGAAAUUUUCCAAUACAUUUUUCCAAUAUAUUUAUUGAAAAAAAAAGUGGACCAGGUGUGGUGGUUCAUGCCUGUGAUCCCAGCAAUUUGGGAGGCCAAGGUUGGGAGGGUUACUUGAGUCCUGGAGUUCAAGACCAGUCUGAGCAA